rnacentral:rRNA from 1 species
GAAUCUAACGACUGCCUCGCUGUAAUGCANUCUAAGCAUNNUUAAGUUGUAUUCUAUGGUACUCAGCACUGNNCGCUCGGUCUUGAUCANGCCUAACACAUGCAAGUCGAACGGCAGCACAGGAGAGCUUGCUCUCUGGGUGGCGAGUGGCGGACGGGUGAGGAAUACAUCGGAAUCUACUCUGUCGUGGGGGAUAACGUAGGGAAACUUACGCUAAUACCGCAUACGACCUACGGGUGAAAGCAGGGGACCUUCGGGCCUUGCGCGAUUGAAUGAGCCGAUGUCGGAUUAGCUAGUUGGCUGGGGUAAAGGCCCACCAAGGCGACGAUCCGUAGCUGGUCUGAGAGGAUGAUCAGCCACACUGGAACUGAGACACGGUCCAGACUCCUACGGGAGGCAGCAGUGGGGAAUAUUGGACAAUGGGCGCAAGCCUGAUCCAGCCAUACCGCGUGGGUGAAGAAGGCCUUCGGGUUGUAAAGCCCUUUUGUUGGGAAAGAAAUCCAGCUGGCUAAUACCCGGUUGGGAUGACGGUACCCA